rnacentral:lncRNA from 1 species
CCGACCACCUCUCUUCCUAUGCCAAAAUGAUUUUUUGUGUGAAGUUUUUGUUGGAAUUUUGGAGUUUGGUGCAUGCAUAUGUGUUCCAAAACCUUACUUUCUAAACACCGCAGUGGAUAAUAAGAUUAAAAUACUUUUAAUCUAAAUUAUGUAUGCAUAAAAAUAUAAAAACACAUGGAUCUAUCUCAUUUGCUGAAUUGAUAUAUGCUGA